rnacentral:rRNA from 1 species
GUGGGGGAUAUUGCACAAUGGAGGAAACUCUGAUGCAGCGACGCCGCGUGAGUGAAGAAGUAUUUCGGUAUGUAAAGCUCUAUCAGCAGGGAAGAUAAUGACAGUACCUGACUAAGAAGCCCCGGCUAACUACGUGCCAGCAGCCGCGGUAAUACGUAGGGGGCAAGCGUUAUCCGGAUUUACUGGGUGUAAAGGGAGCGUAGACGGGAUGGCAAGUCUGAAGUGAAAUCCUGCGGCUUAACCGCAGAAUUGCUUUGGAAACUGUCAACCUGGAGUGUCGGAGAGGUAAGCGGAAUUCCUAGUGUAGUAGUGAAAUGCGUAGAGAUUAGGAAGAACACCGGAGGCGAAGGCGGCUUACUGGACGAUAACUGACGUUGAGGCUCGAAAGCGUGGGGAGCAAACAGG